rnacentral:rRNA from 1 species
AUGAUGCGGUGGAAUCAACAACACAGGAGAAGGACAGAGACACCAUGGCAGGGUGGAGAACCCGGGCAAAAUAGAACAAAUAGAUUGUUCCCGUGCGAUCUCCACCCCGCAAACACCACCAAAUAUACUUUUUAUUGUCUUGUGGCCUGCCAAGCGAGCGCACCCGACAUGGCAAAGGCCGUCCUACCCUACCAAUGUAUUGGUACAUCAAGUUGUACAAUACGCACGUCCUCGCAUGCGCAUCAUCAGCUUACCAACACAAUUACCUUUCUGUGA